AAUCUUCCGCAAUGGACGAAAGUCUGACGGAGCAACGCCGCGUGAUUGAUGAAGGUCUUCGGAUCGUAUAACUCUGUUGUUAGGGAAGAACAAGUAUCUUUCGAUUAGGGCUGUACCUUGACGGUACCUAACCAGAACGUCUCGCUUAACUUCGUCCCCGCUGCCGCGGUAAUACGUAGGUGGCAAACGUUAUCCGGAAUUAUUGGGCGUAAAGCGCGCGCAGGCGGGUUCUUAAGUCUGAUGUGAAAGCCCAAGGCUCAACCGUGGAGGGUCAUUGGAAACUGGGAAGCUUGAGUGCAGAAGAGGAGAGUGGAAUUCCAUGUGUAGCGGUGAAAUGCGUAGAGAUAUGGAGAAACACCAGUGGCGAAGGCGACUCUCUGGUCUGCAACUGACGCUGAGGCGCGAAAGCGUGGGGAGCGAACA
rnacentral:rRNA from 1 species